rnacentral:rRNA from 1 species
AACGAACGCUGGCGGCAGGCUUAACACAUGCAAGUCGAGCGCCCCGCAAGGGGAGCGGCAGACGGGUGAGUAACGCGUGGGAAUCUCCCCAUCUCUACGGAAUAACGCAUGGAAACGUGUGCUAAUACCGUAUACGUCCUUCGGGAGAAAGAUUUAUCGGAGAUGGAUGAGCCCGCGUUGGAUUAGCUAGUUGGUGGGGUAAAGGCCUACCAAGGCGACGAUCCAUAGCUGGUCUGAGAGGAUGAUCAGCCACACUGGGACUGAGACACGGCCCAGACUCCUACGGGAGGCAGCAGAGGGGAAUAUUGGACAAUGGGCGCAAGCCUGAUCCAGCCAUGCCGCGUGAGUGUUGAAGGCCCUAGGGUUGUAAAGCUCUUUCACCGGUGAAGAUAAUGACGGUAACCGGAGAAGAAGCCCCGGCUAACUUCGUGCCAGCCGCCGCCGUAAAAC